AGCAGCAUGGCUCAGUGGAAAGAGCACAGGCUUGGGAUUCAGAAGUCAUGGGUUCUAAUCCCAGUUCUGCCA
rnacentral:tRNA from 1 species